GAGUUUGAUCUUGGCUCAGAGUGAACGCUGGCGGUAGGCCUAACACAUGCAAGUCGAACGGCAGCACAGUAAGAGCUUGCUCUUACGGGUGGCGAGUGGCGGACGGGUGAGGAAUACAUCGGAAUCUACUUUUUCGUGGGGGAUAACGUAGGGAAACUUACGCUAAUACCGCAUACGACCUACGGGUGAAAGCAGGGGAUCUUCGGACCUUGCGCGAUUGAAUGAGCCGAUGUCGGAUUAGCUAGUUGGCGGGGUAAAGGCCCACCAAGGCGACGAUCCGUAGCUGGUCUGAGAGGAUGAUCAGCCACACUGGAACUGAGACACGGUCCGGACUCCUACGGGAGGCAGCAGUGGGGAAUAUUGGACAAUGGGCGCAAGCCUGAUCCAGCCAUACCGCGUGGGUGAAGAAGGCCU
rnacentral:rRNA from 1 species